rnacentral:rRNA from 1 species
ACGAAGACGGCGCCUGGGGUGACUCUCCGCACCCGUAAGUUCAUGACGAACCGUCUCCUCUCAUGCAAGCAAUUCGUGCUUGAUGUGAUCCACCCCGGCCGCGCCAACGUGUCCAAGGCGCAUCUCAAGGAGCGUCUGGCCAAGAUUUAUGAGGUUAAGGACUCGAACUGCAUCUUUGUGUUCAAGUUCCGCACCCACUUCGGAGGCUGCAAGUCCACCGGCUUCGGCCUCAUCUACGAUAACCUCGAGGCUGCCAAGAAGUUCGAGCCCAAGUACAGGCUCAUCAGGAACGGGCUAGCCACCAAGGUAGAGAACUCACGCAAGCAGAUCAAGGAGAGGAAGAACAGGACGAAGAAGAUCCGUGGAGUCAAGAAGACAAAGGCCGGGGAUGCCAAGAAGAAAUAA